rnacentral:rRNA from 1 species
UACAGAGGGGGCAAGCGUUGUUCGGAAUUACUGGGCGUAAAGGGCGCGUAGGCGGCCUACUAAGUCGAACGUGAAAUCCCCGGGCUCAACCCGGGAACUGCGUCCGAUACUGGUAGGCUUGAAUUCGGGAGAGGGAUGCGGAAUUCCAGGUGUAGCGGUGAAAUGCGUAGAUAUCUGGAGGAACACCGGUGGCGAAGGCGGCAUCCUGGACCGACAUUGACGCUGAGGCGCGAAAGCCAGGGGAGCGAACGGG